CCAACAGGGAUUGCCCCAGUACGGCGAGUGAAGCGGCAAAAGCUCAAAUUUGAAAUCUGGCUCCUCUUUGGGGUCCGAGUUGUAAUUUGCAGAGGAUGCUUUGGGUGCACCCGCGGCGUAAGUCCCUUGGAACAGGGCGUCAUAGAGGGUGAGAAUCCCGUCUUGAGUCGCUGGCGUGUGCCCGUGCAAAGCUCCUUCGACGAGUCGAGUUGUUUGGGAAUGCAGCUCUAAUUGGGUGGUAAAUUUCAUCUAAAGCUAAAUACUGGCCGGAGACCGAUAGCGAACAAGUAGAGUGAUCGAAAGGUUAAAAGCACCUUGAAAAGGGAGUUAAAUAGCACGUGAAAUUGUUGAAAGGGAAGCGCUUGCAGCCAGACUCGGGCGCGGAGGCUCAGCGGGCAUGUUUGCCCGUGUACUCCUUCGCGCCCGGGCCAGCAUCAGUUUUGGCGGCCGGUCAAAGGCCUCCGGGAUGUAUCGUCCUCCGGGACGUCUUAUAACCGGGGGUGCAAUGCGGCCAGCUGGGACUGAGGAACGCGCUUCGGCACGGAUGCUGGCGUAAUGGCUGUAAGCGGCCCGUCUUGAAACACGGGACCAAGGAGUCUAACAUCCACGCGAGUGUUCGGGUGUCAAACCCGUGCGCGCAGUGAAAGCGAACGGAGGUGAGAGCCCGCAAGGGUGCAUCAUCGACCGAUCCUGAAGUCUUCGGAUGGAUUGAGUAAGAGCGUGGCUGUUGGGACCGAAAGAUGGUGAACUAUGCCUGAAUAGGGUGAAGCCAGAGGAAACUCUG
rnacentral:rRNA from 1 species